UCUGGCAAUCACCAGUUUGUUCUCUGUAUUUAUGAGUCUGUUUCUGCUUUUCCUUUGCUUGCUUUGUCUUUUUUUUUUUAAGAUUUUAUUUAUUUAUUUGAGAAAGAGAGAGAGAGAAUGAGGUAGAAUGAGCAGGGAGGAGUGGCAGUGGGAAAGCAGACUCCCCAAUGAGCAGGGAGCCUGAUACAGGGCUUGAUUCCAAAACCCUGAGAUCAUGACCUGAGCCAAAGGCAGAUGCUUAACUGACUGAGCCACCCAGGUGCCCCUGCUUUCUCUCUUAGAUUCCACAUAAAAGUGAAAUCAUAUGGUAUUUGUCUUUCUUUGUCUGAUUUAUUUUACUUAGCAUAAUGCCCUCUAAGUUCAUCAAUGGUAUCACAAAUGACAAGAUCUCAUUCUUUUUUAUGACUGAGUAAUAUUCCAUCAUAUAUAUUUACCACAUACUCUUUAUCCAUCUAUUGAUGGACACUUAGGUUGCUUCCAUAUCUUGACUAUUAUAAAUAAUGCUGCAGUAAACAUAAGGGUGUAUAUAUAUAUUUUUUUUCAAAUGAGUGUUUUCAUUUUCAUUGUGUAAAUACCAAAGGUGAUCCUUUAUUUUAAAAACCUUGUCCCUUACUUUUUAGCUUCUUGACUCAAUCAUCUUCCUCUGCAUUGAGCCAAUGCCUAAGAUGAUGAUGAUAAUGAUAACAAAGAGAAAGAAGAGGAAGAGUUAACCUGAGCAAUUGCAUAUUCCAAGGUCUCCUUGCUGAAAGCUACAUCCAGGAAUGACACACAGUCACGCAGCCCUGGAGUUUGGCAGCUAAGCACCCUUGGAUCUUUGGCCUUCGGCACCCAGAGUAUAAUUCUUAAAUCUACAAACUGUCUCGUGCAGCAUUUUUCCUCUCCUCCUCAAAUAAUAUCCAAUUACUGAGUGCUGUGCUGGGAGAACCUGGGGAAAUGCUAGAAGGAAACACAGCUGAGAGCCACUGUGGUUUGACAACUCUCCAGCUACUUUGAAAGUAUUUUGGCAAAAACAAGAUUUUAAGUAAAACUGUUUCCUUUGGUAACAUACCCAAAACUGCAGGUUUUACAUUUUCAGUACUAUGAUUUGAGCCAAAAGGGGGAAAAGAAAAGAAAAAAGGGGGGGGGAGUUUUUCUAGAGGGUGGAAGAUAGAAUGUAAGGGAAAGAGGGAACACUUUCCAUGAGAUGAGAGAAUGAGGGCAAAGAGGAAACAUAUGGAGACAUAUUAACAUUCUCUCCUUACUUCUUUUCUCUAUAGAGGAGUUUUCUCUGUCAAAACACA
rnacentral:lncRNA from 12 species